rnacentral:rRNA from 1 species
GACGUAGGGUGCAAGCGUUGUCCGGAAUUAUUGGGCGUAAAGAGCUCGUAGGCGGUUUGUCGCGUCUGCUGUGAAAACGCGAGGCUCAACCUCGCGCCUGCAGUGGGUACGGGCAGACUAGAGUGCGGUAGGGGAGAUUGGAAUUCCUGGUGUAGCGGUGGAAUGCGCAGAUAUCAGGAGGAACACCGAUGGCGAAGGCGGUGGUCUGGGCCAGUACUGACGCUGAGGAGCGAAAGCGUGGGGAGCGAACAGG